rnacentral:rRNA from 1 species
GUGUCGUCAGCUCGUGUCGUGAGAUGUUGGGUUAAGUCCCGCAACGAGCGCAACCCUUGCUAUUAGUUGCUAACAGGUAAAGCUGAGCACUCUAAUGGGACUGCCGGUGACAAGCCGGAGGAAGGUGGGGAUGACGUCAAAUCAUCAUGCCCUUUAUGACCUGGGCUACACACGUGCUACAAUGGAUGGUACAGAGAGCAGCAAGGCCGCGAGGUGGAGCGAAUCUCAAAAAGCCAUUCUCAGUUCGGAUUGGAGUCUGCAACUCGACUCCAUGAAGUCGGAAUCGCUAGUAAUCGCGAAUCAGCAUGUCGCGGUGAAUGCGUUCCCGGGCCUU